GAUGAACGCUAGCGGGAGGCUUAACACAUGCAAGUCGAGGGGCAGCAUAGGGUAGCAAUACUCUGAUGGCGACCGGCAAACGGGUGAGUAACGCGUAUGCAACCUACCCUGUACAGGGGGAUAACCCGGAGAAGUUCGGACUAAUAUCCCGUAAUAAUAUCCGGAGGCAUCUUUGGAUAUUUAAAGUUUCGACGGUACGGGAUGGGCAUGCGUAACAUUAGCUGGUUGGUAAGGUAACGGCUUACCAAGGCUAUGAUGUUUAGGGGUCCUGAGAGGGUGGUCCCCCACACUGGUACUGAGACAUGGACCAGACUCCUACGGGAGGCAGCAGUGAGGAAUAUUGGUCAAUGGGCGCAAGCCUGAACCAGCCAUCCCGCGUGCAGGAAGACGGCCCUAUGGGUUGUAAACUGCUUUUCCAGGGAGAGAAACUUACGCACGUGUUGCGUGACUGACGGUACCCUGGGAAUAAGCAUCGGCUAACUCCGUGCCAGCAGCCGCGGUAAUCACGAG
rnacentral:rRNA from 1 species